UAACACGGUGCAGAGGCAUGAGGCAAAAGCUUGUAUCACGCGGUCGGCUUGACCUGAGUCGGUCGGUAACAUAUCUUUGUUCUGGAGGACAUAUCUGGGAACUAUACUAAAGACCGAGUGAUGGUAACCCGAGCAUCACUGACGCCAGGGCAAGAUUGUUACAUACCGGGCACAGAACAGCUGCUUCUAAACGGGACUGUUGUCAAGACAAGAGCCUUCUACAAUGGCACGUCAAAUGUCACCCUUUCAGGCAGAGAAUGUCAGAUGUGGGCUGCACACACUCCCCUCAAACAUUACACUCGUGGCGUCUCCCCUGGCCAUUUCGGGAGUGGUGAAACUAUGGAUAAAGUAGCGAACCACUGCCGAAUUGUACUUCCUGACCUGGUGGACACACCGUGGUGCUACACAACAGAUCUAACCAAGCGCUCGGAGCUAUGCAACAUAACUAAAUGCACAUAGCAGUUGUUAGUUUAUGCACAUAGGCAGUGUUGGUGACGUAAUUGCUAUAUAAUUUGGAUACAGUGACUAUGCCUGUAAAGCCUUUGUUGUAUCUUGCAAGUGACUUUAUUUUUGUCUCCAGUAAAAAUACCUCUAACUGUAGAAGUCUAAGUGUAGGUCUUGAAAUUCGUCUUCUUGUAAACAUUAACAUUAUUACCGUAAGCCCUUUGCAUGACGAACAUGUUUUACAUGGAAUUAAAGGGAAACGUAUUUUAAGAAAAUAUCAUACUUUCACUCAAUGUUUAUUAUUGCUGUAUUUUUUGGAGAAAG